rnacentral:rRNA from 1 species
CUCCGGGUGAUCCCGCCGGACCCGACUGCUAUCAGAGUGGGACUAAGCCAUGCGAGUCAACGCCGCAAGGCGUGGCAUACGGCUCAGUAACACGUAGUCAACAUGCCCAGGGGACGUGGAUAACCUCGGGAAACUGAGGAUAAACCGCGAUAGGCCAAGGUUUCUGGAAUGGACACUGGCUGAAACCUAUAUGGCCCCUGGAUUGGACUGCGGCCGAUCAGGCUGUUGGUGAGGUAAUGGCCCACCAAACCUGUAACCGGUACGGGCUUUGAGAGAAGGAGCCCGGAGAUGGGCACUGAGACAAGGGCCCAGGCCCUAUGGGGCGCAGCAGGCGCGAAACCUCUGCAAUAGGCGAAAGCUUGACAGGGUUACUCUGAGUGAUGUCCGCUAAGGGCAUCUUUUGGCACCUCUAAAAAUGGUGCAGAAUAAGGGGUGGGCAAGUCUGGUGUCAGCCGCCGCGGUAAUACCAGCACCCCGAGUGGUCGGGACGAUUAUUGGGCCUAAAGCAUCCGUAGCUUGUUCUGCAAGUCCUCCGUUAAAUCCACCUGCUCAACAGAUGGGCUGCGGGGGAUACUACAGGGCUAGGAGGCGGGAGAGGCAAACGGUACUCAGUGGGUAGGGGUAAAAUCCUCUGAUCCACUGAAGACCACCAGUGGCGAAGGCGGUUUGCCAGAACGCGCUCGACGGUGAGGGAUGAAAGCUGGGGGAGCAAACCGGAUUAGAUACCCGGGUAGUCCCAGCUGUAAACGAUGCAGACUCGGUGAUGGGUUGGCUUCGAGCCAACCCAGUGCCGCAGGGAAGCCGUUAAGUCUGCCGCCUGGGGAGUACGGUCGCAAGACUGAAACUUAAAGGAAUUGGCGGGGGAGCA